GCAGCAUCUUUCCGAAGGAAGAGCAGCACGUUGUCCCCACAUAGUGGGCAGGAGUCAGAUGCGUGUGGACCUUGGCCCUCUGUGGGGUUCACCCAGAUUUUAAAUCCAUUUUUAAAAAUUAAUUUGAAUUUCAGAUAUCCGAAAGUUGGACCCUCUUUUUUUGAGAGCAGACGGGAAAGCGUGGGAAAAGGCGUUCCUUCCGGCUCGUACAGAAGGAACACCCCCACCCGAUCCCCCCGCCAGCAGCCGAAAGAAGGUGGAGAAGAUUCAAGAGUUGGGGGGAAAGGCCCUGGGCUAGAGUCCCCUUCCAGUUCCCGCUUCUCUGCAAACUCCUGUCCUCUUGCCUCGGUCCCCUUGCCGCGCAGGGGAGCGGGACGGAGGAAACUGCGGACUCCAGCCCCGACCAUCCCGCCCCGCCGCGCUUCUCUGCGGGCCGAGGCUGCCGGCGCGGAGCCCCAUUGCCGGCGGGGCAGGCGGGCGCGCGGAGGGCAGGGCGCGGGCCAGCGGGGCCUCGCGGCGCGUCCACAUGUGGCGGGGCGGCGGGGGGGCCGCGGCGCCGGGGGGGAGGGCCCACAUCUCGGCGAAGUUCCCGGAUGGUCGCAGCCUCCUGGCGCUGAGCGCUUUUCCUGCCCGCCCGGCACAGCCCUGCGGACCCCGGGAGAAGUUUCCCAGAAAAAAUGCCCAGCGCGGCGCGGGGCUGUGGAGUCGUCUGGAGCCGCUGCGCGGAGUUUUGCAUCCCUUGCUUUGGCUGAGAAGAGGAUAAAACCUAGAAAGAAGUCUAAGCAAGACCGAGUGUGGUGGCUCACUCCUGUAACCCCAGCACUUUGGGAGGCCAAGGUUCCUCUGGAGUCAGGAGUGCCUGGAGUCCAGGAAACUGGCUAG
rnacentral:lncRNA from 1 species